GGGGCUGUGGCUCAGUGGUAGAACAUCUGCUUGGCAUGAAGAAGGUUCCAGGUUCAAUCCCCGGCAUCUCCA
rnacentral:tRNA from 1 species